rnacentral:rRNA from 1 species
AUACGGAGGAGGCGAGCGUUGUUCGGAAUUACUGGGCUUAAAGCGCGUGUAGGCGGGUCGGAAAGUGUCUUGUGAAAUCCCUCGGCUCAACCGAGGAACUGCUGGGCAUACUUCCGGUCUUGAGGCAGGUAGGGGCGUGUGGAACUCUAGGUGGAGCGGUGAAAUGCGUAGAUAUCUAGAGGAACACCGGUGGCGAAAGCGACACGCUGGGCCUGUCCUGACGCUGAGACGCGAAAGCGUAGGGAGCGAACGGGAUUAGAAACCCCGGUAGUCC